rfam:Triticum aestivum genome assembly, contig: Triticum_aestivum_CS42_TGACv1_scaffold_081227_1DS
UUUCUACUCCCUCCGUUCGGAAUUACUUGUCUCAAAAAUGGAUGUAUCUAGAACUAAAAAACGUUUAGAUACAUCAAUUGCUGCGACAAGUAAUUCCGAACGGAGGGAGUAUAUA